GAAAUGCUGACUAAUGUCUUGCUCAAGCUGUGUAUGCAUGUUCACCUCUGAUCCUCACAGGCAAUGUGUGUUGGAAGAGAUUUCUGAAUGUUCUUCGUCCAGCGUGUACACCCAUCCAACCAGACAUGCUUUAUCUACUAAUUUAAUGGAUGCUUAGUUCAAGUGAAGGUCAAGCAGACUAUAUUGCAAUCAUCUCUGAUGGGUGGUUGAAUGUUUGUGGGCAAGGAAUAAUUAACUACAUCUCCACCCCUCAACCAGUAUUCUACAAGAGCACAGACACAAGGGACAACAGACACACCGGUCUCUACAUUGCAGAUGAGCUGAAGUCAGUCAUCAAUGACCUUGGACAACCGAAGGGCAAUUGAACUGAUUCCAGAGACUGACCCAAAACACCGCUGGCGGAGGAGGGGUAGUCGACUUCUAGUCCGACUCGGGAGGCGAGCACACCGCCCACCGCUUCCGAGUAUAUUACUCAAUUUUGUUAAGUGUCUGGAUAAUAAAGUUGACGAUACUCUGUUUCAUGAAAA